rnacentral:rRNA from 1 species
UGGGGAAUUUUGCACAAUGGGGGAAACCCUGAUGCAGCGACGCCGCGUGAUUUAGAAUGCCUUCGGGUUGUAAAAAUCUUUUCUAUGGGAAGAAAAUGACAGUACCAUAGGAAUAAGGACCGGCUAAUUACGUGCCAGCAGCCGCGGUAAUACGUAAGGUCCGAGCGUUGUCCGGAAUCAUUGGGCGUAAAGGGUACGUAGGCGGGUAAGCAAGUUAGAAGUGAAAUCCUAUAGCUCAACUAUAGUAAGCUUUUAAAACUGCUCAUCUUGAGGUAUGGAAGGGAAAGUGGAAUUCCUAGUGUAGCGGUGAAAUGCGCAGAUAUUAGGAGGAAUACCGGUGGCGAAGGCGACUUUCUGGCCAUAACCUGACGCUGAGGUACGAAAGCGUGGGUAGCAAACAGG